rnacentral:rRNA from 1 species
AUUGAACGCUGGCGGAAUGCUUUACACAUGCAAGUCGAACGGCAGCACGGACUUCGGUCUGUUGGCGAGUGGCGAACGGGUGAGUAAUGUAUCGGAACGUGCCCAGUCGUGGGGGAUAACGUAGUGAAAAUUACGCUAAUACCGCAUACGAUCUAUGGAUGAAAGCGGGGGAUCGCAAGACCUCGCGCGAUUGGAGCGGCCGAUAUCAGAUUAGGUAGUUGGUGGGGUAAAGGCCCACCAAGCCAACGAUCUGUAGCUGGUCUGAGAGGACGACCAGCCACACUGGAACUGAGGCACGGUCCAGACUCCUACGGGAGGCAGCAGUGGGGAAUUUUGGACAAUGGGCGAAAGCCUGAUCCAGCCAUUCCGCGUGCAGGAUGAAGGCCCUCGGAUUGUAAACUGCUUUUGUACAGAACGAAAAGGUUUCUACUAAUACUAGGAGCUCAUGACGGUACCGUAAGAAUAAGCACCGGCUAACUACGUGCCAGCCGCCGCCGUAA